UGGGGAAUAUUGGACAAUGGGCGAAAGCCUGAUCCAGCAAUGCCGCGUGAGUGAUGAAGGCCUUAGGGUUGUAAAGCUCUUUUACCCGGGAUGAUAAUGACAGUACCGGGAGAAUAAGCUCCGGCUAACUCCGUGCCAGCAGCCGCGGUAAUACGGAGGGAGCUAGCGUUGUUCGGAAUUACUGGGCGUAAAGCGCGCGUAGGCGGCUUUGUAAGUUAGAGGUGAAAGCCCGGGGCUCAACCCCGGAAUUGCCUUUAAGACUGCAUCGCUAGAAUUGUGGAGAGGUAAGUGGAAUUCCGAGUGUAGAGGUGAAAUUCGUAGAUAUUCGGAAGAACACCAGUGGCGAAGGCGACUUACUGGACACAUAUUGACGCUGAGGUGCGAAAGCGUGGGGAGCAAACA
rnacentral:rRNA from 1 species